rnacentral:lncRNA from 1 species
CUCCCCCUCCACGCGCCAGUCAUUUGUCUCCCUGGCCCCUCCUAAGUUCUAUCCCCAACGCCCACCAUUCCUCUUUUCACUUUGAUAUUACAAGUGUGGGACUCCCAUUCUCCUUUCCAUUCCUUAAAACCUCCUUCUCCUCCGUGGGCCCUCUCUGGAGCUCACAGUCACUGCCACAUAAAGACACACAGACAACAACAGGAAGCCAGGAAACUUGUCUGAGAGAGAAUAUGCAGUGUUUAUCUUUCAGAUCCAGAGUUACCUAACAAUAUAGUCUCCAGUUUUUAUACAUUUUCCUGAAUAUUUCAUUUUUUUUUCCUUCACAAGCGAAUACAUCUCCCCGUGUACACGUACCAGGUUUGACAUGCUGUUUGUAACGAGUAAGAAAUCAAGGAAAUAAAACUCACGGUGCUGAAGGAGUGGAAGAGGUCAGCCUGCUCUGGCGAGUGCUGCUGUCGGGUUGGCCGUCGCUGGUGCUACUUAACUGUGGAAGUGGUUCAUCCUUAUCAUUGGCCAUCUGCUGUUUAAAUCCACCUUUCCAUCGAGGGAGUGAUUGGCAUCUCAUUUCAGAACCUUCAAUUCCCUUUAAAACUCCACUCAAAAUACACGGGACCUUUUACGACACCACUCACAUCCUUAGGGGAGCGUGGAGAAAUUUCACCAGCACACCGUAAUUGGCCGUACCGAAAAACUUCCGGCACUUGACUCCAAACCUUCACGUUGUCUAGGACAUUCUCAUGAAGAAGUCGUCUGGGGAAACUCAGCAAUUAUUGUUUUUGAAAAGUGGUCCCAGUGGGGAUGAGGUGGAUACCUAACUCUUUUAAUUUAGGUUCUGUCUCUUGAGCCUGGCAUCCAAUAUUAGUGACAGAGUAAACAGUAUCUUCCAAAGACUGACAGGGUCAGCUGCUCUGGGAAUGUGGGCGUGACCUCUCCGGUGGAUUAUCAUCUUGCUGGCUGAGUCCAAGUCCAUGGAAAGGUAAGCAUUCUUUUCCUAAGUGCAAGUUGCUUUGGAACAUGCUUCAAAUUGCACUGAUAAAACUGGAC